AUCUGUAUCUUAUACUGAAAAUUGUGUACACACAUAUACUCCAGUGUGGUGUCUUUAUCUGGCGUGAUCUUAUACUGAAAAUUGAGUACACAUAUAUACUCCAGUGUGGUGUCUUUAUCUGGUGUGAUCUUAUACUGAAAAUUGUGUACACACAUAUACUCCAGUGUGGUGUCUUUAUCUGGUGUGAUCGGAUACUGAAAACUAGUGUCUUCAUCGGUGAUGACUUCGACACAAAAAUGUGAGAAAUGUACAUCAGCGUGAAUGUUUUAUUAUGUCCACCUGUCAUCUUCAUUCAACUCCUAUGAAUCCACUUAACAUUACUCCAGCAUGAAGUUCUACCUCUCAAGUAAGAAAAAGAUACAACUGGAAGAUUUUUCAUUAUGCUACCACACAUGUCGAGGAUUAUUACAAAGGAAGGGGCGAAAAAAGGCUGGGCCGCUGGGGGCUAAAAAAUUUUCACGCCAAAUUUCUAGCUCACACUAAUUUACACAACACAUGUUUUGAUAAUAAUUUUAAUAUGUAAUACCCGAUCCAGUAUGCGCAUAAAUGCAUUUUGGAAAAAGAAAAACAUGGCUAGGAUUUUUUGUUUGAAAUUUUGACUCAAAAGAAGUGACUAUUUUGAUUUUUACGUAUACGGGACUUUCAAACGAAUAAAUUCCUAUGUCAAUGGA